CGCAGGCUUGGCUGUCUCUCCUUAGUAGGGCAGAAGAGAAAGGGGGGAACUGGGGCCCUUUAUAGACCAGGCUUGUUUUGAAAUUUAAACCUAACUUCUUACUCAUGUUGCAAGGCUUGGACUGCGUACCUUUCCUUUGGUGAUCUUCAAGAAAGCUGUGCUGUGAACUGGCGAAGUUGGUUGUCAACAUUUAGAAUUGGAACAGUUUCCCA